rnacentral:lncRNA from 1 species
UAUGCGUAUGACUACAGAGUCUCUAGGUAUCCCCUUCGUCGUCCUCCUGCGGAACGGGCUCGGGAACCAUGUCUUCCUAAUCUGAAAUGGUUAAUUAAGGAGUGAGCUACACUAGCCCAGUAAGAACAUCACGAUAUCUCACCGUCACGGAGAUAAAGGUGGGUAGAAAACCACAAAAAGACCAAUGGAGCAUAAUUUACAACAAAACCUUUUAUCAAUAAUAAAACUUUUACCAUCCACUUACCUUGGUGGAAUUUAUGAAAACAAUAUGAGAAAACAAUAACAUUAUCAUAAUCAUUGAAUAAUCUAAGCUGUAAAACAUGACACUUAUCACGCCUCUUGUAAUACAAUCAUUGUACAACAUAUCUUUUUUUCUCAUUUACCAGCCUACUAGUAUCCGUGGGGGUCCAUAGGGGUUCCGCUACCCGUUAACCUUUAACAUUCAUAAUCAGUUUCCAGGGCCGUCCCCAUACCCCGUCCGGUAUGGGCGCCAAAACCAUGAACCUCAAUACCCCGUCCGGUAUGAGGGUGAAACGGGCC